rnacentral:lncRNA from 13 species
GGUGUGGUGGCAUGCACUCAUAGUCCCAGCUACUUGGGAGUUGGAGGCGGGAGGAUUUCUGAGCCUGGGAGUUUGAGGUUGCAGUGAGCUAUGAUCACACCACUGUUCCCAUCCUCAGUGACAGAGCAAGACCUUGUCUCAAAAAACAAAAACAAAAAGCAACUCACUAUAGGAGGUAGAUGGUUAAUGAACAUGGCAGUGUGCAGAGGGGCUAGGGGGAGGCUGGCUUGGUAACCAGCAGGAAGCCUCUCAGGGCCACAGUUAACUUGGCACAUUUGUCACAGGUUGGUUUUAGUCAUGCAGGCUCAGGAAUCUGAUGUCACACACCAUGAGGUUGCCCAUUUUUUUUAGGGUUGAAUUAACAUUAACCUGGCUCAUAGAGACUGAUGUAUAAACCAGAAUGCCAGUCGCUGAUUCAAAGCAAGAAACCGAGUCACUCAGAGGACCAGAGACUCCCUUCCCUAGUCAGGACAUUCCAAGUCAAUGGGAGGAGAUUAGGACAUAGACCCAUACAGAAAGAAGACCAUGUAAAGAUACAUAGAGAAGAUUUAUCUGCAAGCCAACGAGAGAGGCCUCAGAAGAAACUGGCCCUGCAACACCUUGAUCUCAGACUACUAGUCACCAGAAUUGUGAGAAGAUAAAUCUCUGCUGUAAACAGAAUUUCUCUUAUGAAGUCUCACUCUGCUGCUCAGGCUGGAAUGCAGUGGUGCUAUCAUGGCUCACUGCAACCUCAGCCUCCCAGGUUCAAGUGAUUCUCCUGCUUCAGCCUCCUGAGUAGCUGGGACUACAGGUAUGUGCCACCAUGACUGGCUAAUUUUUGUAUUUUUGUUUGUUUUUUGAGAUGGAGUCUCGCUCUGUCAUCAGGCUGGAGUGCAGUGGCAUGAUCUUGGCUCACUGAAACCCCCACCUCCCAGAUUUAAGUAAUCCUCCUGCCUCAGCCUCCCAAGUAGCUGGGACUGCAGGUGUAAGCCACUGAACCUGGCCUAAUGAGACAGGGUUUCACCAUGUUGGCCAGGCUGGUCUUGAACUCCUGACCUCAAGUGAUCUGCCGGCCUCAGCCUCCCAAACUGCUGGGAUUACAGGUGUGAGCCACUGUCCCUGGCCAUGGUUCCU